rnacentral:rRNA from 1 species
UACGUAGGGUGCGAGCGUUGUCCGGAAUUACUGGGCGUAAAGAGCUCGUAGGUGGUUUCUCGCGUUGUUCGUGAAAACUCACAGCUUAACUGUGGGCGUGCGGGCGAUACGGGCAGACUGGAGUACUGCAGGGGAGACUGGAAUUCCUGGUGUAGCGGUGGAAUGCGCAGAUAUCAGGAGGAACACCGGUGGCGAAGGCGGGUCUCUGGGCAGUAACUGACGCUGAGGAGCGAAAGCGUGGGGAGCGAACAGG